CCGACCUUACUUGAACAGGAUCUGUUCUAUAGGUUGUACCUCUGUGUCCUUGAGUUCUAAGGAGACAAGAACCAAAGUCUGGUGGAUGAUUUCUGACUUGUGACUAGAGCGUGAUUAACGGUACAUGGACCCAUGGUCCAACGGCUGUAUAGGAUCGUUCUCGGUAGCAUUACUACUUCCGGGAUGGUUGCAAGUCAGUCUGACAGACC
rfam:Cucumis sativus cultivar 9930 chromosome 3, whole genome shotgun sequence.